GUGGGGAAUAUUGCGCAAUGGGGGAAACCCUGACGCAGCGACGCCGUGUGAGGGAAGAAGGCUUUCGGGUCGUAAACCUCUGUCAGAAAGGAAGAACCUCCCAUAUCCGAAUAGGGUGUGGGACUGACGGUACUUUCAAAGGAAGCACCGGCUAACUCCGUGCCAGCAGCCGCGGUAAUACGGAGGGUGCUAGCGUUAAUCGGAAUCACUGGGCGUAAAGCGCGCGUAGGCCGCUUCUUAAGUCGGACGUGAAAGCCCUCGGCUCAACCGGGGAACUGCGUUCGAUACUGGGAGGCUUGAGUCCUGGAGAGGGUGGCGGAAUUCCGGGUGUAGGAGUGAAAUCCGUAGAUAUCCGGAGGAACACCGGUGGCGAAGGCGGCCACCUGGACAGGUACUGACGCUGAGGCGCGAAAGCGUGGGGAGCAAACAGGAUUAGAAACCCUUGUAGUCC
rnacentral:rRNA from 1 species